UACGAAGGGGGCAAGCGUUGCUCGGAAUUACUGGGCGUAAAGAGCGUGUAGGCGGCCAAACAGGUCCACUGUGAAAACUCGAGGCUCAACCUCGAGAGGUCGGUGGAAACCGUCUGGCUAGAGUCCGGAAGAGGAGAGUGGAAUUCCCGGUGUAGCGGUGAAAUGCGCAGAUAUCGGGAAGAACACCCGUGGCGAAGGCGGCUCUCUGGGACGGUACUGACGCUGAGACGCGAAAGCGUGGGGAGCGAACAGG
rnacentral:rRNA from 1 species